UACGUAGGGUGCAAGCGUUAAUCGGAAUUACUGGGCGUAAAGCGUGCGCAGGCGGCUUUGCAAGACAGAUGUGAAAUCCCCGGGCUCAACCUGGGAACUGCAUUUGUGACUGCAUGGCUAGAGUGCGGCAGAGGGGGAUGGAAUUCCGCGUGUAGCAGUGAAAUGCGUAGAUAUGCGGAGGAACACCGAUGGCGAAGGCAAUCCCCUGGGCCUGCACUGACGCCUCGAUGCACGAAAAGCGUGGGGAGCAAACAGG
rnacentral:rRNA from 1 species